rnacentral:rRNA from 1 species
CCUACGGGAGGCUGCAGUCGAGGAUCAUUCACAAUGGGGGAAACCCUGAUGGUGCGACGCCGCGUGGGGGAAUGAAGGUCUUCGGAUUGUAAACCCCUGUCAUGUGGGAGCAAAUUAAAAAGAUAGUACCACAAGAGGAAGAGACGGCUAACUCUGUGCCAGCAGCCGCAGUAAUACAGAGGUCUCAAGCGUUGUUCGGAAUCACUGGGCGUAAAGCGUGCGUAGGCUGUUUCGUAAGUCGUGUGUGAAAGGCGCGGGCUCAACCCGCGGACGGCCCAUGAUACUGCGAGACUAGAGUGAUGGAGGGGGAGGCGGAAUUCUUGGUGUAGCAGUGAAAUGCGUAGAUAUCGAGAGGAACACCGGCGGCGAAGGCGGGUUCCUGGACAUUAACUGACGCUGAGGCACGAAGGCGAGGGGAGCGAACGGGAUUAGAUACCCUAGUAGUC